rnacentral:rRNA from 1 species
UACGUAGGGUCCGAGCGUUGUCCGGAAUUAUUGGGCGUAAAGGGCUCGUAGGCGGUUCGUCACGUCGGGAGUGAAAACUCGGGGCUCAACCCCGAGCCUGCAGUCGAUACGGGCAGACUAGAGUGCGGUAGGGGAGACUGGAAUUCCUGGUGUAGCGGUGAAAUGCGCAGAUAUCAGGAGGAACACCGGUGGCGAAGGCGGGUCUCUGGGCCGUAACUGACGCUGAGGAGCGAAAGCAUGGGGAGCGAACAGG